AAUAGAUACCCGGGUAGUCGGUAUACAGGUGGUGCAUGGCUGUCGUCAGCUCGUGUCGUGAGAUGUUGGGUUAAGUCCCGCAACGAGCGCAACCCUUGUCCUGUGUUGCCAGCAAUUCGGUUGGGGACUCGCAGGAGACUGCCGGGGUCAACUCGGAGGAAGGUGGGGACGACGUCAAGUCAUCAUGCCCCUUAUGUCCAGGGCUUCACACAUGCUACAAUGGCCGGUACAGAGGGCUGCGAUACCGUGAGGUGGAGCGAAUCCCUUAAAGCCGGUCUCAGUUCGGAUCGGGGUCUGCAACUCGACCCCGUGAAGUCGGAGUCGCUAGUAAUCGCAGAUCAGCAACGCUGCGGUGAAUACGUUCCCGGGCCUUGUACUCACCGCCCGU
rnacentral:rRNA from 1 species